rnacentral:tRNA from 1 species
AUUGAUUUGGCAGAUUAGUGCAUUAAUUUUAGAUUUUAAGAAAGUAAUAAUAAUUA